rnacentral:misc_RNA from 1 species
CUGCUCCAUUACAUGUAAAGUUUCAGCCUUUGCAGGAGUCUUCUGUUCACGAUCAGUUACUAGCUCAACUCCAAGCAUCAAUCCUCUUCCCCUCACAUCCCCAAUGAUUUCAUAUUUAUCUUUGAGUUCAAUUAGUCUGUCUUUCAGAUGGGACCCCACAACAGACGCAUUUUCCUGAAGAUUUUCUUUCUCAAUCACUUUUAGAACAGCCAGCCCUGCAGCAGUACACACGGG